AUUGAACGCUGGCGGCAUGCCUUACACAUGCAAGUCGAACGGCAGCACGGGAGCAAUCCUGGUGGCGAGUGGCGAACGGGUGAGUAAUGUAUCGGAACGUACCUUUCAGUGGGGGAUAACGUAGCGAAAGUUACGCUAAUACCGCAUAUUCUGUGAGCAGGAAAGCAGGGGAUCGCAAGACCUUGCGCUGAUUGAGCGGCCGAUAUCAGAUUAGCUAGUUGGUGAGGUAAAGGCUCACCAAGGCGACGAUCUGUAGCGGGUCUGAGAGGAUGAUCCGCCACACUGGAACUGAGACACGGUCCAGACUCCUACGGGAGGCAGCAGUGGGGAAUUUUGGACAAUGGGCGCAAGCCUGAUCCAGCCAUGCCGCCGUGAGUGAAGAAGGCCUCGUU
rnacentral:rRNA from 1 species